GUGGGGAAUAUUGGGCAAUGGGCGCAAGCCUGACCCAGCAACGCCGCGUGAAGGAAGAAGGCUUUCGGGUUGUAAACUUCUUUUACCAGGGACGAAACAAAUGACGGUACCUGGUGAAUAAGCCACGGCUAACUACGUGCCAGCAGCCGCGGUAAUACGUAGGUGGCGAGCGUUAUCCGGAUUUAUUGGGUGUAAAGGGCGUGUAGGCGGGACAGCAAGUCAGAUGUGAAAACCAGAGGCUCAACCUCUGGCCUGCAUUUGAAACUGUUGUUCUUGAGUGUCGGAGAGGUAAUCGGAAUUCCGUGUGUAGCGGUGAAAUGCGUAGAUAUACGGAGGAACACCAGUGGCGAAGGCGGAUUACUGGACGAUAACUGACGCUGAGGCGCGAAAGCGUGGGGAGCAAACAGGAUUAGAAACCCUGGUAGUCC
rnacentral:rRNA from 1 species